rnacentral:rRNA from 1 species
UACGAAGGGGGCUAGCGUUGCUCGGAAUCACUGGGCGUAAAGCGCACGUAGGCGGCUUCUUAAGUCAGGGGUGAAAUCCUGGAGCUCAACUCCGGAACUGCCUCUGAUACAGCACGUCUUGAGUCCGGAAGAGGUGGGUGGAAUUCCUAGUGUAGAGGUGAAAUUCGUAGAUAUUAGGAAGAACACCGGUGGCGAAGGCGGCCCACUGGUCCGGUACUGACGCUGAGGUGCGAAAGCGUGGGGAGCAAACAGG